rnacentral:hammerhead_ribozyme from 1 species
GUCCAGCUGACGAGUCCCAAAUAGGACGAAAUGCACUUUCUGGAU